GAGUUUGAUCAUGGCUCAGAGCGAACGCUGGCGGCAGGCUUAACACAUGCAAGUCGAGCGGGCGUAGCAAUACGUCAGCGGCAGACGGGUGAGUAACGCGUGGGAACGUACCUUUUGGUUCGGAACAACACAGGGAAACUUGUGCUAAUACCGGAUAAGCCCUUACGGGGAAAGAUUUAUCGCCGAAAGAUCGGCCCGCGUCUGAUUAGCUAGUUGGUGAGGUAAUGGCUCACCAAGGCGACGAUCAGUAGCUGGUCUGAGAGGAUGAUCAGCCACAUUGGGACUGAGACACGGCCCAAACUCCUACGGGAGGCAGCAGUGGGGAAUAUUGGACAAUGGGCGCAAGCCUGAUCCAGCCAUGCCGCGUGAGUGAUGAAGGCCCUAGGGUUGUAAAGCUCUUUGUGCGGGAAGAUAAUGACGGUACCGCAAGAAUAAGCCCCGGCUAACUUCGUGCCAGCAGCCGCAGUAAG
rnacentral:rRNA from 2 species